CCCUACGGGGUGCAGCAGGCAGGAGGAGCUGCGCAAGAUGGGCUGUGACGUCGUGGACGUCCAGUGUGCAAGUCGGGUGAUCGCAGAGUCACAACAGAAAUCGAGUCUUGCCAUGUACCGGUCGGUCGGGUUGGGCCUGGUGUACGGCGGCGGAAUCAUGUCAACGGACACGAUGAUGGACAUCAUGAUGAAGGGAUUCCUCCAGGCAGGAGAAUUCCCCUAUACCACCAGUGUCCCAAGCGAUGGAUCAAACCGUGCAGUCGGAGCGACCUCUGGGUGCUCCCCGACGGACGUCGCUGCCAUGCGGCGCAUCCCCGGCGUGCGCGACCUGUGGCUCAAGACGUUCGAUGGGAAUUCAAUCAGGACGCUUCUGAUUGGCGGGGGGGC
rnacentral:rRNA from 1 species